GACGAAUGCUGGCUGCGUGCUUAACACAUGCAAGUCGAACGGUGAAGGAGGGCUUGCCCUCCGGAUCAGUGGCGAACGGGUGAGUAACACGUGGGCAACCUGCCCCUCACUCUGGGAUAACGCCGGGAAACCGGCGCUAAUACCGGAUACGACCAGGCGCGACAUCUCGCCUGGUGGAAAGAAUUUCGGUGAGGGAUGGGCCCGCGGCCUAUCAGCUUGUUGGGGGGGUAACGGCCCACCAAGGCGACGACGGGUAGCCGGCCUGAGAGGGCGACCGGCCACACUGGGACUGAGACACGGCCCAGACUCCUACGGGAGGCAGCAGUGGGGAAUAUUGCGCAAUGGGCGAAAGCCUGACGCAGCGACGCAGCGUGAGGGACGAAGGCCUUCGGGUUGUAAACCUCUUUCAGCGGGGACGAAGCGAAAGUGACGGUACCCGCAGAAGAAGCACCGGCUAACUACGUGCCAGCCGCCGCAGUAAAAC
rnacentral:rRNA from 1 species